AAAUGCCUAAAACCUUUGGCCUUUCAGUUUCUCCAGUUUUAGAGGGGCAGGGUAUUGAUCUUAUAUAUGGAGAACGUCUUCAAGCAAACAUCUUAUUACUUCCAUAAGGAUUCUACUCCAUCUUUGUCACCACUAAUGUUGGUAAGAACUCGCGUUGUUUUAUGUUUACUUUGAAUAUAUUAUAAUGGUAACUCACGAUUAUUUUCAAUAUAUUCUUCAUUCCCAUGUUUCUGAGUGGAUAACUACGUUGUGCAAAUUCAGAAGGUCCACAAAAUUUAAUAUCUCUGAAUUUCGAUGCCUCGAAGUUAAGAAAUUUUGUGCCCAAGUGAGUUUACAAGGAUUGGAGGAAGGUAUGUCAUGAUUUUUAGAGUCGGCUAUUUAACUUUUUAUUGCUAAGAGAAUGUUGAUGUAGAAUUUCAUGAAAUACAAUAUUGCAUUUGCAAUCAAUUCUGGGUAUUGAUUGAAAAAUAUAUCCUUAAGGAGAAAUUUGUUUUAUGAUUUAAGAAGGGAAGAAGUUGUUGACAGGCUUGGGAGGAAGACGGAAGCUGAGGUUAAAGGAAUAAAAAAUUGGUAUUAUCAUUAACUUUUUUCUACUUCUUUUUAUUUCUGAUUCUUCUUUCAUUUUCCUGAAAGUGUCUUUUUUGUUUUAUUUUUUGCAUUUUCUAAUAUAUAGAAGAGGCUUGGAAGUAGCUGGGCGUUGUCUUGCCAGCUUGCCAACCAAGGCCUCUUCCUGUCAUUUCAUGUGUAACUUUUUUAAAGUCAUUGAUCAUUUAAAUAUUGUUGUGAGUUUUGAUUGG
rnacentral:lncRNA from 1 species